UGGGGAAUUUUGGACAAUGGGCGAAAGCCUGAUCCAGCAAUGCCGCGUGUGUGAAGAAGGCCUUCGGGUUGUAAAGCACUUUUGUCCGGAAAGAAAUCCUUGGCUCUAAUACAGUCGGGGGAUACGUCCGGAAGAAUAAGCACCGGCUAACUACGUGCCAGCAGCCGCGGUAAUACGUAGGGUGCAAGCGUUAAUCGGAAUUACUGGCGUAAGCGUGCGCAGGCGGUUUGCUAAGACCGAUGUGAAAUCCCCGGGCUCAACCUGGGAACUGCAUUGGUGACUGGCAGGCUAGAGUAUGGCAGAGGGGGGUAGAAUUCCACGUGUAGCAGUGAAAUGCGUAGAGAUGUGGAGGAAUACCGAUGGCGAAGGCAGCCCCCUGGGCCAAUACUGACGCUCAUGCACGAAAGCGUGGGGAGCAAACAGGAUUAGAUACCCUGGUAGUCCACGCCCUAAANGAUGUCAACUAGUUGUUGGGGACUUCAUUUCCUUAGUAACGUAGCUAACGCGUGAAGUUGACCGCCUGGGGAGUACGGUCGCAAGAUUAAAACUCAAUGAAUUGACGGGGUCAUAGCUG
rnacentral:rRNA from 1 species